ensembl:lncRNA
GUUUGGAGUGGUUGUCCACCAUGCUGGAGGAGUCGUCGAUGGCCAGGCAGAUCUGGUACUCCCUCUUGCUGGGCUUGGUUCUCCGGAGCCAGAUCUUGUCCUUGCGGAACUGACUGGCGAUGUAAGGGAUGACCUUCCUCAUGUUCAGACGCUUACCGGUCCGGUAGUCCCCCCUGUGGAGCGCAGCAUUAGAGCAGGGCAUCAACUAGUAACCAACUAGUUACCAACCCCCCUGUGGAGACCAGCAUUAGAGCAGUAGUAUCAACUAGUUACCAACUAGUUACCAACCCCCCUGUGGAGACCAGCGCAGAAUUAGAGCAGUAGUACCAACUAGUUACCAACUAGUAACCAACUAGUGACCAACUAGUUACCAACCCCCCUGUGGAGCGCAGCAUUAGAGCAGUAGUACCAACUAGUAACCAACUAGUUACUAACCCUCUUGUGGAGACCAGCAUUAGAGCAGGGCAUCAACUAGUUACCAACUAGUGACCAACUAGUUACUAACCCCCUUGUGUAGACCAGCGCAGCAUUAGAGCAGGAGCAUCAACUAGUUACCAACUAGUUACCAACCCCCCUGUGGAGACCAGCAUUAGAGCAGGAGCAUCAACUAGUUACCAACCAGUGACCAACUAGUUACCAACCCCCAUGUGGAGCGCAGCAUUAGAGCAGGAGCAUCAACUAGUUACCAACUAGUAACCAACUAGUUACCAACCCCCCUGUGGAGACCAGCGCAGCAUUAAUAAUAAUAAUAAUAAAUGAAAUUUAUAUAGCGCUUAAUCUGGUACUCUAAGACGCUUAGAGCCAUUAGAGCAGUAGUAUCAACUAGUUACCAACUAGUUACCAACCCCCCUGAGGAGACCAGCGCACCAUUAGAACAGUAGUAUCAACUAGUUACCAACUAGUUACCAACCCCCCUGUGGAGACCAGCGCAGCAUUAGAGCAGUAUGACCAACUAGUGACCAACUAGUGACCAACUAGUUGCAAACCCCCCUGUUGAGACCAGCGUAGCAUUAGAGCAGGAACAUCAACUAGUUACCAUCUAGUUACCAACUAGUUACAACCCCCUGGGGAGGACUAGAUCAGAUCACCCAUCUCUUAAUUCAUGUCCCUUGUGGAGCAGGAGAUGAGAUUGAGAUCACAUCAUUUAGUAAAUAAAGUACAAACAAUAAAAACAAAAUAAAUAUCGAUAAGACUACUUUGCUGCCAUGUC